UGCUUAUCAGUGGCCAGAUGGGCAGGU
rnacentral:piRNA from 1 species